GUCUGCUCUGCGCAUUAAUAGUAAUACAGAUAACGGGUUUGAAAGAAUUCUCUACUGAAGAAGGACUGAAAUUUUUCCAGUGGCUGAUACUAAGGGGGAACGCGACUUUACUCUCCCGAUUUCCCCAUCCUUAGAUUUAAAAGUCUCAGACAGCUUGUGCUUGGUUUAAACUCGGGAAGGUCUCCGUGCAUAGCAAAGUUGGAGGGCUGCGCCUGCACCACCGAGCCGCUAGAUUUCUGAACACAGUCUUGCCCAAGGAUAACCCAAAUCUGUGCCAGUGGCUGGGUGUAAUGCAAGGAAGGGACAAAGAUGAAAUGGAAACAUCUACCUUUUUUGGCCAUAAUAUCACUCCUCAGCGUGCCAAGCCAUCACCUGUUCCUGGCCCAGCUUAUUCCAGGUACGUAGCAUGCUCUUGUUUCAUCAGUAUUUAAACCAGUGUGCCUUCUAUCCUUUUAC
rnacentral:lncRNA from 1 species